rnacentral:rRNA from 1 species
UACGUAGGGUGCGAGCGUUAAUCGGAAUUACUGGGCGUAAAGCGUGCGCAGGCGGUUUGCUAAGACAGGUGUGAAAUCCCCGGGCUUAACCUGGGAACUGCGCUUGUGACUGGCAGGCUAGAGUACGGCAGAGGGGGGUGGAAUUCCUGGUGUAGCAGUGAAAUGCGUAGAUAUCAGGAGGAACACCGAUGGCAAAGGCAGCCCCCUGGGCCUGUACUGACGCUCAUGCACGAAAGCGUGGGGAGCAAACAGGAUUAGAUA